UUGUGGAGCGAUUUGUCUGGUCAAUUCCGAUAACAAACGAGACUAGCCUACUAAAUAGUUCGGGGACCCCUAAAAGGGGCCCCGCUUAGAGGGACAGGUGGCGUUUAGCCACACGAGUUUGAGCAAUAACA
rnacentral:rRNA from 1 species